rnacentral:rRNA from 1 species
CCUGCGCCGAAAAUGUACCGGGGCUAAGCAUACUACCGAAACCAUGGAUGCGACCAUUAGGUCGCGUGAUAGGAGAGCGUUCUAAGGGCGGUGAAGCAAGAUCGUGAGGACUUGUGGAGCGCUUAGAAGUGAGAAUGCCGGUAUGAGUAGCGAAAGAUAGGUGAGAAUCCUAUCCACCGAAUGACUAAGGUUUCCUGGGGAAGGCUCGUCCUCCCAGGGUUAGUCGGGACCUAAGUCGAGGCCGAGAGGCGUAGACGAUGGAUAACAGGUUGAGAUUCCUGUACUAGUUAAGUGCGUUUGAGCAAUGGAGGGACGCAGGAGGCUAAGAUGUGCAUUCUGUUGGAUUAGAAUGUCCAAGCAGUAAGUCUUGUGAAGAGUCAAAUGCUUUUCACUUUAAGGACAAGCUGUGAUGGGGAGCGAAAUUUAGUAGCGAAGCGUCUGAUGUCACACUGCCGAGAAAAGCUUCUAGUGAGUACUUAACUACCCGUACCGCAAACCGACACAGGUAGUCGAGGAGAGAAUCCUAAGGUGAGCGAGUGA